CCUACGGGUGGCAGCAGUGGGGAAUAUUGGGCAAUGGACGCAAGUCUGACCCAGCAACGCCGCGUGAAGGAAGAAGGCUUUCGGGUUGUAAACGUCUUUUAAGGGGGAAGAGCAGAAGACGGUACCCCUUGAAUAAGGCACGGCUAACUACGUGCAAGAGGCCGCGGUAAUACGUAGGUGACAAGCGUUGUCCGAAUUUGGUGUGGGUAAAGGGCGUGCAGCCGGAGAGGCAAGGCAGAUGUGAAAUCCACGGGCUCAACCCGUGAACUGCAUUUGAAACUGUUUCCCUUGAGUGUCGGAGAGGUAAUCGGAAUUCCUUGUGUAGCGGUGAAAUGCGUAGAUAUAAGGAAGAACACCAGUGGCGAAGGCAGAUUCCUGGACGAUAACUGACGGUGAGGCGCGAAAGCGUGGGGAGCAAACAGGAUUAGAUACCCGAGUAGUC
rnacentral:rRNA from 1 species